rnacentral:lncRNA from 1 species
AGAAAGAGCCCCUCGAAGUGCAGGGCCCUGAUCUGCAGCACUACCAUCACUGGGGAACUUGUUAGAGAUGCAAACGCUGAGGCUCCAUCCCAGGCUUGCUGGGGUUGGGGCUCAACACAGAUCUGUUCUAACAAACAUGUCCCAUGGUUCUGAUACACAUUGAUAUUUUGUACCCACUACUCCAUGACAACAACUGGUAAGAGCUGAAUUGCUGAGAACGGCCUGUGUGAACUGUCAGGUUGCACAAUUCCCCAAACCCUGAGCAGGAUUCUGGACAGUCCUGCUCAGGUCCUGUAGGGAUUCAGGCCUACAACCCUCAGGCUACACUGUGGCACCUCAGAAGCAGAGACUGACUUUGUACCUGAUCCUGUUCCAGGCUUAGCUGAUGGAUGACCAAAUGAUGGAGAAGACAUCAGCCCCUCAGUGAUGGGUGAUCUCAAGACAGAGUGGACGGAGACAUGGAGAGCUAAAAGCUCCUCCAGACUACAGGAAGAAAUCGAAGCCAGAGUCCAUGCUGAGUUGAACUGCAGAUAGGAGGUAUGAGACUGUGUUUAAGUGUGCACUUGGGUAAAGUCUGCAGGGGAGCAGAAAGGGCUGGAACCAAGAUGAAAAUAAUCAUGGCAGCCAGAUAAGAUGGCACACGCCUGUAAUCCCAGUACAAUGGAGGCUGAGGGAGGAGGAUGACAGGGAGUUCUAAAUCAGCCUGAGCUACAAAAGUGAGUUCAAGGGCAUCCUGAACUACAUAGAGAUACUCUGUCUCAACACACACAGACACACACACACACACACACACACACACCACCAACAAAACUAAACACCAAAAAAAGAUACAUGCAAACAAUAAAGUAAUCAUGAUGAGCAGAGUCCUUCCUUAGAAUGAGGCUGGUGAUGGUACUGUGGAGAGUUUUAAGAAAAACCCAGACAAGGAGGGAACCAGAAAGCAGUCUAACACCUGUAGUAUGUCCCCUAAAGUUUGACUUAUCCAAGUUUUGCCUCCAUUCUCUUUCCUCAGAUCAUGAGGCAGCUAUAUUUUUCCAAGAGAUUAUUUUUCUCUCCUUCUUUGUUCUCAUGUCCUUUGCUGACACCUGCAAUCUCACCACAUGUGGAGGACUGUUGGGAACCAAGGUACAAAGGAAGCUGGCUCAGAGGUGGACUGCUUGGGUAAGUACCUGGCUCAGUUACACAGAAGCCACGCAAGUGUGAGCAGUAAAUGGGCUUCUUCAUUUCCUCCUUAGCACAUGGGGUUCAUGCAGAGCUCAUGUCAGAGGCUUGUUGAUUACCACAGUGAUUGCUCCACAUGAAUACGUAGAUGUGCUCAAUAAUGUUAGGCUUUAACCUUACUGCUAGUAACUUUUAUUCCUUUCUUUUUUUUUUUUUUGCAGGGCCUCUGCAUGCUAAGCAAGUGCUCUACCACUGAGCUAUGCAGCCAGUCCUGUUACCAUUGUUAUUUUAAAAUCUGUUCCAAAAUCUGUACUAUAUGUUUUCAUGUCAGCAUCACAGUUCUGGGAAAUGAAUUUAAAGCAUAGUUUUGUCUGUUUUUUUCUUUACUUAUUUGGCAUAUUUAGGUUAGUUUAGGCUUCACUGAAUGUCUUAUUUUUCUCCUUGUAUUUGGGGCAGGGAUAUUAACUGUUGCAUAAAAAUCUGUAUCUUUAUGUUGCAUCUAAGAAGUAAAUAUGCAUAUUAUUCUUAAAUAAAAAUUUAUAGACACCCUGAUGAUAGUAUAUAUGUUCUAAAAAGUAAGACCUACUUUUAAAAUAACUAAUAGUUUAAUAUAGUAAUUUAUUCCUUUACAGAAUGCCUUUUUAAGGACCUAACUUGGGAGAGGAACUUUGUCAUCUAUGCAUGAAUCAGAUAUGUGCUUAAUGUCUGAUGGAAAUAUGAUACACUCAAUGAAAUGCUUUAUUUCUAAAAGUGCUUUAUCUCUGUGGUGUUUAUAAUAUGCAUUUAAAGCACAGAGUUUAUACUGAUAUCAUUAUCUGAAAACUGUUUUCUCAAAGGCAUAGGCAGGGAUUCCUGAAGUAUCCAAAAAGGACACUAUGCUUAUCUAUGAUAAGCAGAGGAUCAACAGUACUCUGAAAUCUUUGCUCUUGGAAAGCUUCCUUUAGCAGGCAGUAAGGUGCUUCUAAAAUGUAUGUGGACCAACAUACCACAUUGCAUCUCUCAAGAGCUGAGCUGAAUGCAGAAUCUCAAACCCAUCCAGGACCUAUUUGAUGAGGCUCUGAAGUUUAACAAGAUCCCCACAUGACUUGUGUGCACAUGAAUGUCUGAGAAGCCCUGAUCUAAGGUAAUAAAUAUAUUCUAGUGUGAUAGAGCAGCCCAGGAAUAAAAGAAACCAAGGUUAAAGACGCAGAUUCCUAAGUUCAUUGCAGACUUAUUUUCAGGGCUAAUUUAAGAAUUUUCAAGAGACCAACAAAAUAGUCAAGAGAGGUUUUGUUUUCAAUCAAGUUUGGAACACAAUAAAUGGAGAGUUGAAGCUGACAUUCAGAAAUAACCCAGAGCUGGGCUUGAAUGUUUAGGCUAUCUUGGGAGCACUAAGCCUCAAUUUCCUUAUAGUAAUAUAGCCUUUCAAAAAUGAUUAUCACCAAACUAUAUAAAGUCCAUCACAAUUCUCCAUAUGUAAAAUGACUUGAUAUAUGUUUCGCUAUUAUGAUCAGUUUUGCAAAACUGCCAAUCCUAUUAGUUAUAAUGAUAAAUUUCCCCUGGGGAAAAACAAAAUGAAACAAAACAAA